AUCAAGAUUGAUGAUAAAUCAGCAGGUGAUGUAAAAGAAGAUAAGGUUGAGAUAGAAAAAGAUCUGGAGAUUAAAUCAGUAGAGAAAGAUGAUGAGAAAAAGGAAAAGAAGGAUAAGGAGAAGAAGGACAAAACUGAUGUAGAUGAGGGUAAGGAUAAGAAGGACAAAGAGAAGAAGAAAAAAGAAAAGAAGGAAGAGAAUGUUAAGGGUGAAGAAGAAGAUGGUGAUGAAAAGAAGGAUAAGGAGAAGAAGAAAAAGGAAAAGAAGGAGAAGGGAAAAGAAGACAAAGACAAGGAUGGUGAAGAGAAGAAAUCUAAGAAAGACAAGGAGAAGAAAAAGGACAAGAAUGA
rnacentral:lncRNA from 1 species